GUGGUGGGCAAGAUCGAGUUCUUCUACGACCAGGCGCCGGAGAGCAUGAAGAGCCUCGGCACGGCCAUGUCGCUGACGGCGUACGGCGUCGGCAACGUGCUCAGCAGCUUCCUCCUCUCGCUCGUGUCGCGCGUCACGCGGGAGCGGGGCGACGCCUGGGUCACCAACAACCUCAACGCCUCGCACCUCGACUACUACUACGGCUUCCUCACUGUCCUCGGCGC
rnacentral:misc_RNA from 1 species